AGCAAUGGAUUGAAAUACUUUUUAUUUUAUUAUAGCAUUUAGAGCUAAAUAUAUCAAUGGGAUGGAGAUGCUCUGAAAGAGAGACGGACGACGCAAAUCAUUGACGGGGAGCACUAUGAGAUCCGCGAUCCCGCAGCCUUUCAGAUUAGGACAGAAAUUUGGCUUGCCCGUUCUACUGUUCGGUGCAGGAUAUGGCUUGGCUGUUUAUUUUCAUGGAGCUCAUGUAGCACAUCUGGAUAAGACGUUGGACGAGGCGUUUGCGGAAUUGAAGGAUUCUCGCACCUAGACAAGUUUCUGAACCGUAUCAUGCCAUUGUCAUGUUUUUUGGUUUAUGUUUGAGAUCUUCUUCAUCGAGUAACUGCUUUGUACAGCUUUUCUCUAGUAGGGGUAUAUUUAGUUGUCAUGUCUUGCUUCGAAAUUAAAGAUUUUCUAAGGUGUUGUCUGUCAUUAAUCGUUUAUUCACUGUAUUUUUAAGACCAAUGUGAGAGUAAGACCAUAACUUUUAUUUCAA